ensembl:lncRNA
CGAUUUCAGAGGAUUUGAUUGGUGUAAAAUGACAGUUUGAAUCUAGCAUAUUCAAAUUGCUUACAGCUGUCAAACCUUUCCAUGUGCGUAGGAGGUUGUUUACAUCUAUGUUUGUGAUUGGUCCAGACAAUCGUGCUACAUUCCUAUCUGAGCCUUGUGUAAUGUUCCCUCCCACUGAAAAGGUGUCUGGGCGGGGCCUACAUUUUGUCCGUCAAUCAAUCAACAAAUAAACGACCAGGUUCACACUCGCAUCAUGUGAUUAGGGAACCCCGUCUGCCACCCAAAAUGGCAAACUUUUCCACAAAGAGCCGUGCUAUAACUGGUGCACUAUGUAAGGAAUAGGGUGCAUAACUGGUGCACUAUGUAAGGAAUAGGGUGCAUAACUGGUGCACUAUGUAAGGAAUAGGGUGUAUAACUGGUGCACUAUGUAAGGAAUGGGGUGCAUAACUGGUGCACUAUGUAAGGAAUAGGGUGUAUAACUGGUGCACUAUGUAAGGAAUAGGGUGUAUAACUGGUGCACUAUGUAAGGAAUGGGGUGCAUAACUGGUGCACUAUGUAAGGAAUAGGGUGUAUAACUGGUGCACUAUGUAAGGAAUAGGGUGUAUAACUGGUGCACUAUGUAAGGAAUAGGGUGUAUAACUGGUGCACUAUGUAAGGAAUAGGGUGUAUAACUGGUGCAUUAUGGAAGGAAUGGGGUGCAUAACUGGUGCACUAUGUAAGGAAUAGGGUGUAUAACUGGUGCACUAUGUAAGGAAUAGGGUGCAUAACUGGUGCAUUAUGGAAGGAAUGGGGUGUAUAACUGGUGCAUUAUGGAAGGAAUAGGGUGCAUAACUGGGGCACUAUGUAAGGAAUAGGGUGUAUAACUGGUGCAUUAUGUAGGGAAUAGGGUCUGGUUUGUAACGCUGCCUUGUGCCCAUCUCCAUCAAGCCAACACUACUAUCAAAUGUUUCCUGAUACUUAUUCGUUUAAAGUAAUUAAUCUUAUAUACUUAACAUUUAGGUGUUGGUAUAGUACAUGUGGUUCUCACUGUUAAAGAAUAAAAGAAACCAUUGAAUUGCGAUUGAUGUACUUUUGUUUCAAUAAAAAAUAUGG